UGGGGAAUCUUGGACAAUGGGCGCAAGCCUGAUCCAGCCAUGCCGCGUGAGUGAAGAAGGUCUUAGGAUCGUAAAGCUCUUUCGCCAGGGAUGAUAAUGACAGUACCUGGUAAAGAAACCCCGGCUAACUCCGUGCCAGCAGCCGCGGUAAUACGGAGGGGGUUAGCGUUGUUCGGAAUUACUGGGCGUAAAGCGCGCGUAGGCGGACUGGAAAGUUGGGGGUGAAAUCCCAGGGCUCAACCCUGGAACUGCCUCCAAAACUACUAGUCUAGAGUUCGAGAGAGGUGAGUGGAACUCCGAGUGUAGAGGUGAAAUUCGUAGAUAUUCGGAAGAACACCAGUGGCGAAGGCGGCUCACUGGCUCGAUACUGACGCUGAGGUGCGAAAGUGUGGGGAGCAAACAGGAUUAGAUACCCCCGUAGUCC
rnacentral:rRNA from 1 species